UCUUGAGAUAGUUUUUGUUGCACAGCCAUUAGCAGGUGGGGUCAGCAGUCUCCAUGACUUAUUUUAUGUUUGGCGUAGGAGCCACCAUGGAGAGAUAAAAAGAGCCACAUGUGGAUCUGGAGCUGCAGGUUGCAGACCCCUGCUAAAGACGUAUAUAUUAUCACCUAGGGGUAAUUCAGAGAGACCAAUUAACCUCGGAAAUGUGUUUUUGGAUUGUAGGAGGAAUCUGGAGAAAACCCACACAUGCAUGGGGAGAACAUGGAAGCUCCAACAGAAAGCAUCUUAACGGUGAAGGAGAGAAACUGGGUCAGACAGGAGGAAGAGCGCGUGAUCUUCUGCCAAGAGCUUCCUCAGAAACCUCGGACGUGGCUGACACUCUGCUAGCAUGUGAGACACUUCUGCAUUUGGAAAGACAUAUGGAAGUGGAGGGAGUUGGAGUUUGUGUGUCUUUUCUUCAGCCAUCUUUGUUUGUGCCUAAUUGUCAAGAGAACUUGAUUGGGUGAGGAUCUUCAGGGCAGCAAGUUUUGGUCCUCGUAAUUUGGUUAUUAUUUUUUUAAGAAAACUAUUCCAAGGUUACUUUCAUUCCUGGAGUCUUUGUAAGAGUUUUGAAUGAAUUGGGGGCUUGUCCAGGAUUUUAUUUGUUUGGUGCUACAUAGGUUGGGGGCUUGUCCGGGAUUUAAUUUAGUGUGGUGUUACAUAACUUGGGGGCUUGUCUGGGAUGUAAUUGGUUUGGUGCUACAUAGAUUGGGUUCUUGUCUAGGAUUUAUUUUGUUUGGUGUUACAUAAAUUGGGGGCUUUUCCGGGAUUGAUUUGGCUUGGAGAUACACACAUUGGGGGCUUGUCCAGGAUUUAUUUAGUUUGGUGUUACAUAAAUUGGGGGCUGGUCCAGGAUUUAUUUUGUUUGGUGCAACACAAAUUGGGGCUUGUCUGGGAUGUAUUUGGUUUGGUUACAUAAAUAUUUUUUUUCCCAGAAUUUACUUGGUGUGGUGUUGCAUAAAUUAGGGGCUAGUCCGGGAUUUAUUUAGUUUGGUGCUACAUUUGGUGUUACAUUUCUCUGGGAUUAACAGGGGGCUUGUCUGGGAUUAAAUUGGUUCAGUGCUACAUGAGUCGGGGGCUUGUCCGGAAUUUAUUUAGUUCGAUGCUACAUCAUUUGAGGGCUUGUCCGGGAUUUAAUUUAGUGUGGUGUGACAUAACUUGGGGGCUUGUCCGGGAUUUAAUUGGUUUGGUGCUACAUAGAUUGGGUUCUUGUCUAGGAUUUAUUUUGUUUGGUGUUACAUAAAUUGGGGCUUGUCUGGGAUAUAUUUGGUUUGGUUACAUAAAUAUUUUUUUCCUAGAAUUUACUUGGUGUGGUGUUGCAUAAAUUAGGGGCUAGUCCGGAAUUUAUUUGGUUUGGUGCUACAUUUGGUGUUACAUUUGUCUGGGAUUAACAGGGGGCUUGUCUGGGAUUAAAUUGGUUCAGUGCUUAAUGAAUCGGGGGCUUGUCCUGGAGUUAUUUAGUUUGGUGCUACACAAAUUGGGGGCUUGUCCGGGAUUUAUUUCGUUUGUGCUACAUAAAUUGGGGGCUUGUCUGGGAUUUAUUUAGUUUGGUGCUACAUAAUUUGGGGGCUUCUCCGGGAUUGAAUUUGUUUAGUGCUAAAUAAAUUGGGGGCUUGUCCGUGUUUAAUUUGUUUCAGUGCUACAUAAAGACAUAGUGUUUUGGGGGGUUUAGGUGUAAGUAAAAACCAUCUGUUAGCAAAACACAAUUUUGCCAGCAUUGUUAGUAAACUAUCUGAAACCCAGAUUGGGGGCAAAAAAAGGAAAAAUAGUCUCUGAUAUUGUUUAGGGGCUGAGCCAAAUUUGGAGGUGGGCCAAAUCCGGCCCGCGGGCCGUAGUUUGAGGACCCAUGGUCUACAAGAGGCUUUUUCCUCAAAAAGAGGUCUUUUAAAUUUUUCAAUUAAAACAUUAAAUCCUAUAUUUAUUGUGCCAAAUGCAAGAUAAGGUUGUCGCCCAGUGGAUUCCUAAUCCCUCCAGAAGUUCAGACUGUAAGCUUUAAAGCUUCAAAUCUACUUCCUCCAUGAGCAAAGGUUGACAGGGCCCCGGGGGAGAUGCUUUAAGGUGGAAUGACAGUGACAAAGUGUGCACGAUAAAAAGAAAAGGAGUUGUACUGAAGAGGCUUUUGUGCCGUUCCGCGGCGGUAAAUCAGACCUGAAGAAGAUAUAAGGAGCUUGACCUGCACAGCUGCUUCCCCCAUCGAUGCUGUAUGGACACGCAGAGUCACAAAAAUAGACGUUGACAGUCGACUCCUCCUGCAGUCGCACAUUCGUACUUGUGCGGGCCACCAACGACAGAAAGAGGGGAGAAGAGGCCGAGAGAAAGAGCUGUUGGCUCAGUAUGUGUGACUCACGGACAGACUGACUGUCCUCGGGCUUCUGUACGCCAUCUGCCCCCCCACUCAUUUCUCUGUGGCUUCAUCACACAGCCUGGAGCUGCACAGUACCAUAUCUUCACAAAAAAGACGGAAUCAAGGGAGGGUUAAAAGCUGCGAUACAUUUUUAAAGACCACACAGUGGUUUUUGGUAAUAUACAUGUGUUACAUCACUGCAAUCUAUGGGAAUCAGAAAUUUCGGAGUGAAUUGCCUGGCUUUGUCUUGUGAGGAGAAGGUUUCAGUCAAUACCGGCUUCAUUCCUGCAGGUCAUCGGGGAUCGACCGGCCUAAUUCAUUACAGAAACAUGACACUUACCCAUGCAAAGGCUGCACAGCGACUGCGUCUGCGCAUCGUCUGUGCUGCGCGCAUUUGUGUAAGUGGAAGUUCUCAUAACGAGAAUCGAUGGAGAAGAUCCUUUUCAUUAGAGGGGCAGUAAAAGCUGCAGGACCAUCGACCACUUUCCAACCGCACCGUAAACACCUGCUCAAAACACCAGAAGAGAAGAAGAAGAAGAAGUCCUAGUUUUUUAUUCAACGAGGUUAAUAAAGUUACACAUUACAACAGUUAAAAAAAAACAACAAACAUCAGUCCAUUAAAAAAAACUCUGGAGCUCUAACUGUUCUGACAGGAUGAGGAAGUAUAUUUACAGUCAAAAGUGAAUCACCAGAAUGUUACUCCGCCAGCACGUCAAGCACAGGUUAAAAGAAUGACAACAAAAAGCACAUUCACACAUACAUGCAGCACAAACCGACAAGAAACUUUACCUACCAGCUCCUGGAAUGAGGAGCACCUCUAAAAACACACCUUGUUUCAUUUUACACAACCUCCUCCAACAACAACUGUACAAAACCUGCUGAUAUGCAGUCGUGUGCAAACGCUAGAAAUUCAUCUUUUUAGCUUUGAAACCAAAAAAUUGUGAUGGAUUUAUAGAAUUAGUUACAACCACGUGUCUGGAUGACAUUUUAAACAAUAAAGGCUACAUCACUCACUCCCUAACAAGUUGGUUUCUACCUGUUUUCAGUCAGUGGAAUGUUCUCCCUGACAUUUUUUUAUGUGUUUUUUUUAAUCUUGCACUUAAAUAAAAUACUGUAUAUAUUUGUGAUUUUUUUCCCAUUUAAUUUAAUGUAAUUACGUCUAUUAAUAGAUGCUUUUUAGUUUUUUUUUUUUUUGUCAAAAAUGACAUUUAUAUAAUUCAGUAGUAUAUUUUUACCUUACUACUCUCCACUUCGACAGUAUUUUCUUGGUUCCUUCUGGAUAUUUUCCUACUUUUCAAUGGAUAUUUGUGUCUCAAUUAUUUUCAAUGCUAAACUUCUUUUGUGCACUUUCCCUUUUUUGUUUUUUGAAUGGGGUGUUUUCGAGCCCUCUGUAUAAAAGGCUCUGCAUAAAUAGAACUUGAUUUGGGCUCGCAUUGCAGUCGUGGAACUUGGACACCUUCCAGUCAUUGAAUUGGCCACAAAAGAGAGAAUGCUAACUAAAAAAUAAAAAAUAAGAAAUGUGUUAAAUGCUAAAAAA